rnacentral:misc_RNA from 1 species
GAAAUGCGAUAAGUAAUGUGAAUUGCAGAAUUCAGUGAAUCAUCGAAUCUUUGAACGCACAUUGCGCCCGCCGGCAUUCCGGCGGGCAUGCCCGUUCGAGCGUCAUUUUCAACUCCUUCCUGCGGAAGAGAGAGAGAAGCAAAGCUCUCUUCUCACCCGCGGGGCGUUGGCACCGGGCGCCGCCUAGGCGGCCGGAGCCCAAAUGCAGCGGCGGACACGCGGCGGCCCUUAGCGCAGUAGAACCUGUUCUCGCUCAGGAGGCACGCGGCGGUGGACCACAGCCCAAGCGAAAACUCAGAAACUUGACCUCGGAUCGGGUAGGACUACCCGCUGAACUUAA